rnacentral:lncRNA from 1 species
UGGUAGAUAAAAAUAAAAAAAAACCUUUAAAAAAACACACACUUCUGUGCCACUGUUGCAUCUGCAUAGAUGAGUGGUGUGAGUAGAGAUGUUGGAGAAUUCAUCAAAACUUGAAACAGGAGUGGAAAUUGCUGCAACUUGCAUGUUCUACAGAGGUCAGGAAUAGAGAUCACACAAGCAAGUGCGAGCAGUAUUCACUAUCAUGGUUUUCUUCUAGGUCCACAAAUGUUAUGUAAACUUACCACUAAUACACUAUUAUUGCAUCAGUGACUUGUUACAGAACUCACCCACAAAUAAACACCAGCCAGAAGAGAGACCUGUGACCAGGAUGAAUGCUCAAUACGUCAUCUGGAAGAGCCCCAUCUCAAAACAUGCAAAACCUCAAAGAAACCCCAUGGAAAGCCUUAGCUGCUGCACACUCUCCCAGCCUCUAGAUGGCACCUCCCUCACAUCGCUCCAUAUUUACUUCUUAAUAUUGACCAUCUUGUAAACAACCUCGGUAUGUACUUCACUCUGUCACAGUUACAGUGGCCCAUCUGCUGUCCUGAACCCCAGACCUACCUAGUGGCAAGUCAGUAUGUCAAGUCCUUAGUCCAAGGUCAAGCCACGUGUCCAAAGUCCAAACUGAAGCACCGUCUGGCAGAGAUCCUGGAACAUCCAAGCUGAGGUCCAUCAACAUGGGCAGUUGAGGAGAUACAGCAACUUAACUCUGCUGCCCUUUUGUACUUUGCAUGCUGACUGCAGCAUCUGGGCUUGAUGAGGCAUGUGACCCUCACCUGUUCCAAUCCUAUUCCAGCUGAGGAAUCACACCCCUCCUCCCAGAGCUAGCAUGUCUCACCUGGCCAGAGCUAGAGAGCUGGGCUGUGGACCCUUGCCUGCCUCAGCCUCCUGGAGCUCCCCACCCAUUGCUCCCUAUGCCUCAGAGCCCACCGCGUGAGGGUCAUUAUGGCUCUGGUGAUGGGUCCUGCUGCUUUGGUUCCUGUGCACUUGACCCCCAUUCCCCCCAUUGUCCUGCCAGUUCAUGAUAUCUGCUCUCUGAGGCUUUUGAUGUCAGAUUGAGGUGGUUAUGAUUAAUGUUAUAUUUCCCCUGUCUUGUUAUGCAGCUAAACAUGUUUUAGUCAUAUUUUAAUGUGUGUGUUUUGUGGUGAACCGCUUUGUGAUAUUGAAUGAUAAUGGAACUAUAUAUGUUUUAAAUAAAAUAAAGAAAAAACUUCUCCCCUGGGGCUUUUUCUGUUCAGUAAAUGUGGACAAGUUGGGGAGGCUGCAGAGACAGCACUGCAGAAAUGCUACGGUGGAAAGAGAGAGAAAACCACAUACCACCCUCAGUUUUCUGUUCCCAUCAAUAAGGAAAUUUCAACUUUUGAAGGAAUUCUGAUGUGACUUCAGAAUGAGGAAGAAAAAUAGAAGCCUAUUUCCAAGAGGAAGAGAAUUUCUGAGACAGAAUAGUUGUUG